rnacentral:rRNA from 1 species
UACGGAGGAGGCAAGCGUUAUCCGGAAUUAUUGGGCGUAAAGCGUCCGCAGGUGGCGAUUCAAGUCUGCGGUUAAAGACUGGGGCUUAACCCUGGAAAGGCCGUGGAAACUGAAACGCUAGAGUGCAGUAGGGGUAGAGGGAAUUCCCGGUGUAGCGGUGAAAUGCGUAGAGCUCGGGAAGAACAUCGGUGGCGAAAGCGCUCUGCUGGACUGCAACUGACACUCAGGGACGAAAGCUAGGGGAGCGAAUGAG